CACCUUGAUUUUGGACUUCUAGCCUCCAGAACAAUGAGACAAGCAAUUUCUG
rnacentral:miRNA from 1 species